ACCUGUAUCGAAAGUGAUUUUGGCUCCGUCCGUGGCCUGGUCAUUGAUAAUGCAGGGAAAGCAUGACGUGAAGUCUUUUUCCCGUGUUUGGAGGCAGCUCUUGUACCUCUCAAACCCUGUGAGCUUCACACA
rnacentral:snoRNA from 1 species